rnacentral:rRNA from 1 species
GUGCCAGCAGCCGCGGUAAUACGUAGGGUGCGAGCGUUGUCCGGAAUUACUGGGCGUAAAGAGCUCGUAGGUGGUUUGUCGCGUCGUCUGUGAAAUUCCGGGGCUUAACUCCGGGCGUGCAGGCGAUACGGGCAUAACUUGAGUGCUGUAGGGGAGACUGGAAUUCCUGGUGUAGCGGUGAAAUGCGCAGAUAUCAGGAGGAACACCGAUGGCGAAGGCAGGUCUCUGGGCAGUUACUGACGCUGAGGAGCGAAAGCAUGGGUAGCGAACAGGAUUAGAUACCCUGGUAGUCCAUGCCGUAAACGGUGGGCGCUAGGUGUAGGGGGCUUCCACGUCUUCUGUGCCGUAGCUAACGCAUUAAGCGCCCCGCCUGGGGAGUACGGCCGCAAGGCUAAAACUCAAAGGAAUUGACGGGGGCCCGCACAAGCGGCGGAGCAUGUGGAUUAAUUCGAUGCAACGCGAAGAACCUUACCUGGGCUUGACAUACACCAGAUCGCUGCAGAGAUGUAGUUUCCCUUGUGGUUGGUGUACAGGUGGUGCAUGGUUGUCGUCAGCUCGUGUCGUGAGAUGUUGGGUUAAGUCCCGCAACGAGCGCAACCCUUGUCUUAUGUUGCCAGCAUUUGGUUGGGGACUCAUGAGAGACUGCCGGGGUUAACUCGGAGGAAGGUGGGGAUGACGUCAAAUCAUCAUGCCCCUUAUGUCCAGGGCUUCACACAUGCUACAAUGGUCGGUACAACGCGCAGCGACACUGUGAGGUGGAGCGAAUCGCUGAAAGCCGGUCUUAGUUCGGAUUGGGGUCUGCAACUCGACCCCAUGAAGUCGGAGUCGCUAGUAAUCGCAGAUCAGCAACGCUGCGGUGAAUACGUUCCCGGGCCUUGUACACACCGCCCGUCACGUCAUGAAAGUUGGUAACACCCGAAGCCAGUGGCUCAAACUCGUUAGGGAGCUGUCGAAGGUGGGAUCGGCGAUUGGGACGAAGUCGUAACAAGGUA